rnacentral:rRNA from 1 species
UACGGAGGAUGCAAGCGUUAUCCGGAAUGAUUGGGCGUAAAGCGUCCGCAGGUGGCUGUGUAAGUCUGCUGUUAAAGAGUGAGGCUCAACCUCAUAAAGGCAGUGGAAACUACAUGGCUAGAGUGCGUUCGGGGCAAAGGGAAUUCCUGGUGUAGCGGUGAAAUGCGUAGAGAUCAGGAAGAACACCGGUGGCGAAAGCGCUCUGCUAGGCCGCAACUGACACUGAGGGACGAAAGCUAGGGGAGCGAAUGGG